GACGAACGCUGGCGGCGUGCUUAACACAUGCAAGUCGAACGGAAAGGCCCUGCUGUGUUGGGGUGCUCGAAUGGCGAACGUGUCAGUAACGUGUGAGUAACCUGCCCUUGACUUUGGGAUAACUUCCGGGAACUAGUGCUAAUACCGGAUAGGAGCUCCUGCUGCAUUGUGUGGGUUGUAAUGUUUCGGCGGUUGGGGAUGGACUCGCGGCUUAUCAGCUUGUUGGUGGGGUAGUGGCUUACCAAGGCUGCGACGGGUAGCCGGCCUGAGAGGGUGACCGGCCACAUUGGGACUGAGAUACGGCCCAGACUCCUACGGGAGGCAGCAGUGGGGAAUAUUGCACAAUGGGCGGAAGCCUGAUGCAGCAACGCCGCGUGCGGGAUGACGGCCUUCGGGUUGUAAACCGCUUUCGGCUGUGACGAAGCGUAAGUGACGGUACUGGGUGAAGAAGCACCGGCUAACUACGUG
rnacentral:rRNA from 1 species